rnacentral:rRNA from 1 species
AGGGUUUGAUCCUGGCCCAGGAUGAACGCUAGCGGCGUGCUUUGAAUAUGCAAGUAGAACGCCUUCGUGCUUUGCACGAAGAAUGCUAAAUGUCAAAAAGGCAAAUGAUAAAUGAAACACAAUUAAUUUUGUACUAAUUUAGCAUUUAGUUUUUUAGCAUUUGGAUUUUUCGCGCAGAGUGCGUUGGAGUUGCGAACGGCUGAGUAAUAGAUAGGAAUCUCCCCAAUGGUGUGGAAUACCCCAUCGAAAGAUGGGCUAAUACCGCAUAACCUCGCAAGAGAAAAGGGCUUAACUGCCCGCCGAUGGAUGAGCCUAUCGCCUAUCAGCUUGUUGGUAGGGUAAUGGCCUACCAAGGCUAUGACGGGUAGGGGGCGUGAGAGCGUGACCCCCCAGAAUGGGACUGAGACACGGCCCAUACACCUACGGGUGGCAGCAGCUGGGAAUCGUACGCAAUGGACGAAAGUCUGACGUCGCGACGCCGCGUGGAGGAUGAAGGCCUUCGGGUCGUAAACUUCUUUUGCCAUGAAUGAGAGUUCAUGGAGAAUAAGCACCUGCUAACUCUGUGCCAGCAGCAGCGGUGAUACAGAGGGUGCAAGCGUUAUCCGGAUUUAUUGGGCGUAAAGCGUUUCGUAGGUGGCAUGGAAAGUUGUCUUUCAAAGACCACGGCUCAACCGAGGGAAGGGAGAUAAUACUACCAAGCUUUAGAAUUAUGGUGGGGUUUCUGGAACUGAUGGUGUAGGAGUGAAAUCCGUUGAUAUCAUCAGGAACUCCAAGGGCGAAGGCAGGAAACUAACCAUACAUUGACACUGAGGAACGACAGCUAGGGGAGCGAAGCAGAUUAGAGACCUGCGUAGUCCUAGCCGUAAACUAUGCUUGCUAGGGAUUUGGUAUUUAUAUCAGGUCCCGUAAGCUAACGCGUUAAGCAAGCCGCCUGGGGAGUACGGCCGCAAGGCUAAAACUCAAAGGAAUUGACGGGAACUCGCACAACCAGUGGAGCAUGUGGUUUAAUUCGAUACAAACCGAAGAACCUUACCCAGCCUUGACAUGUUAUCGUUUUAGUCCGGCAGAAACGUUGGAUGAUCUAAAUUUAUUUGGAUGAUAACACAGGUGUUGCAUGGCCGUCUUCAGCUCGUGUCGUAGGAUGUUCCCUUCAGUGGGGUAACGAGCGCAACCCUUGUCCUGUAUUAAAUAUUUACAGGAGACUCCUUGAAUUUAUUUCAAGGGGAAGUGGGGAUGACGUCAGGUCAGCAUGGCCCUUAUACCCUGGGCUACACACGCGCUACAAUGGCCGGUACAAUGGGUCGCGAACCCGCGAGGGGGAGCUAAUCCUAUCAAAACCGGUCUCAGUUCGGAUUGGAGGCUGCAACUCGCCUCCAUGAAGCCGGAAUCGCUAGUAAACGCGGAUCAGCCAUGCCGCGUUGAAUACGUUCUCGGGCCUUGUACACACCGCCCGUCACACCACGAAAGUCGGGAAUGCCCGAAGCACCCUUAGCCAACCUUUGGAGGCGGGGUACCACGGCAGGCUCGAUGAUUGGGG